CGGAAUUUACAUUACGAAAUUAGUUUCACGACAUUCAUUUCAUUAAUAAUUGCAUGUGUAACGUAAUGCAUGGAAUAAAUAAGACGUUAACACAUGAAAUUAAUGUCGUGAAAUUAAUUUCGUAAUGUAAAUUCCGCUUAACUGCACAAACUGGCUCGUGGAGGUAAGCUCUCAGGUAAGACGGAGCGUGUAGGCGGAGCUUAUCAGAGUUACACAGUGACAACUAUGCUAGGCCUACAGUUUUCAACAAAUUGGCUGACAUAUCAUAAUGUUAUGCCAUGCAUAUGCGCUGAUAAGUUUAUCUCAAAUUAUUUUGAUGCAUUCCAUAAUAUGAUGAAACACUGCAUCAAUAAUAAUGUUUCUAGUUUAAUAUUAUUAAUCUAUUACAUUUUGUGAAAUUCAUUUAUAGGUUCUUCAACAAACAUACUUAUAAUUACUUAAUCAUUUAUUCUGGGAUUCAAUUUUCACGUCAAACAAUUUGGUUACAUAAUAAUUCUUUAUUACACAAGUAAACAGUCGGCAAUAGACUAAGCUAAGAUUAACUGCAUUAAUAAAUUAUUAUAGAACUGACUCGAUAGUAGGUAAGUAACAAUUAUUAUAAGCUUAUGGUAUUAGUAUUAAGGUUCUUUGUAAGGUAAGAAAGGACUGUGACUAAGUUUUUACUUCUGUUUUUGGGUAUAGUCCGUUGCAUACCUACGGAGUGGAAUGGAGUCAAGUCAUAUAAAAAAAGCUGUACCUCGGUUCACUCCACUCUGCAGAUGUGUGUUGCAAGGCGUUUAAUUUUUACUUUCAAAAUAUGUAUGAGUUCGAAAAAUCCAACUGGUGUCGAAUUUAUCUUGAAAAAAACACGCCCUAAUCAUUUUUCAGUUCUCCAUUCUUAUUUUUUUAAACACAUGACAUAUUAUAUGUAUUUGUUUUUGGCAAUUGAUGAAAAUUAUUGUGAAGUUUGAUGAGACAAUAGUUGUGACAUUGUCAAUAUGUACCUAUUCCUGUUCCUACAAAAAUGUUCCAUUUUGUUUUUUUCGAAUCAAGGGAAUGAUUAAUAUGAAUAAAAUAAAAGGCGCUGUCUCACUGUUGCGCACGCUGUGCAUGGCCACGCGGCGCAUUUUAGCUGCGUGGGUCCGUUCGUUAGUCACGUUUCCGCUGCAACAUACAAUAACCCACAACUAUGUACAAUCGGCCUCAGAAUUCAAGUAGCAAUUCCGCGAAACUAUUUUACCAAAACCCUGUCACACUUAUGAACUUUUUCUAUUUACAUGCCACACACACCUAAUGCACGUGUGCAUAACCGUGCCACGCCAACUGUCAUUGAGGUGCUAAAUGACUUACGGCCUUUGACUGUGUACGUGUAGCGCAGCACAAUUCAAGUUCUACUUCUUCGGCCUGUGGAACGGACACAUGUCGUAUACCAAACUUUGUGGGAAUCCCGUUGUCCCCGUUAACGGGGACACGGUUAGCGGGGCCAACGGGACUACACGGAUGAGAUGAGCAGCGUAAGCGACAUAUCCGAGCAGGCCACGCGUGUAACAUUGACGUCAACCACGUAUUUGUGCGUAGCGUGUUCGUGGGUUGCAGUGGUCAACGGUGUAGCGUGACCGUACGCUAUGGUUGAGCAGCGCCUUAUUUCAUUAUUUUUAUUAUGUAGGUAUGUUAUUCCUUAGUCACAUAAGUAGUCAUAUUUUUGUAAUCAACGAUAGUAAUAAAAUGUGGCAAAGUAAAAUAAUUACACAAGUAUUUUUUUCCAUAAAAAUACAGACACUGGACCUGAGAAAAAAUUUGUUAAUUUUAUUUUAGCAGAUCCCGUUAAAAAUUGUUUCAUGUGUGAAUUGAUUAAAAAAAUAAAUUUUUACAGACUCU